rnacentral:rRNA from 1 species
CCCUUAGAUCUCCUGGGCCGCACGCGCGCUACACUGAGUGUCUGAGAUACGAGUCUGCCUGGUCCGGCAAGGUCUAGGUAAUCGCUAAAAGACACAUCAUGCUUGGGAUAGAUUAUUGCAAAUAUUAAUCUUGAACGAGGAAUUCCUAGUAAGCGCAAGUCAACAGCUUGCGUUGAUUACGUCCCUGCCCUUUGUACACACCGCCCGUCGCUACUACUGAUUGGAUGUUUAAGCGAGGUUCUCGAACUGCUAGCGACUUAGCUUCGGUGAGGUCGCAGUGUGGGAAGUGAACCUAGCUUUGGUGUCUAGAGGAAGUAAAAGUCGUAACA